rnacentral:rRNA from 1 species
UACGAAGGGGGCGAGCGUUGUUCGGAUUUACUGGGCGUAAAGGGCGCGCAGGCGGCCAUUCAAGUCAGGCGUGAAAGCCCCGGGCUUAACCUGGGAACUGCGCUUGUUACUGGCAAGCUGGGAGUGUGGCAGGAGGGGGGUGGAAUUCCGACGUGUAGCAGUGAAAUGCGUAGAGAUGUGGAGGGAACACCGAUGGCGAAGGCAGCCCCCUGGGCUAACACUGACGCUCAUGCACGAAAGCGUGGGGAGCAAACAGG